rnacentral:rRNA from 1 species
AACUAACGCUGGCGGCGUGCCUAACACAUGCAAGUCGUACGAGAAAGCCGGCUUCGGCUGGUGAGUAAAGUGGCGCACGGGUGAGUAACGCGUGGAUAAUCUGCCCUUAAGUGUGGAAUAACGUACCGAAAGGUGCGCUAAUACCGCAUAAUGCCUGGCAACACAAGUUGUCCGGCCAAAGAAGGCCUCUGUUUACAAGCUUUCGCUUCAGGAUGAGUCCGCGUACCAUUAGCUUGUUGGUGGGGUAAUGGCCUACCAAGGCUACGAUGGAUAGGGGUUCUGAGAGGAAGGUCCCCCACACUGGAACCGAGACACGGUCCAGACUCCUACGGGAGGCAGCAGUGAGGAAUAUUGGUCAAUGGGCGCGAGCCUGAACCAGCCACGUCGCGUGAAGGAUGACGGCCUUAUGGGUUGUAAACUUCUUUUACAGGGGAAUAAAGUGAGUCACGUGUGAUUUUUGCAUGUACCCUGUGAAUAAGCAUCGGCUAACUCCGUGCCAGCAGCCGAC